AUGCUCCUGCGGGCUGCUGCCUUCGUCUCGCUGCUCCCCGGGGUGCUGGCAUGGUGCAGCGCGGCAUUGCAUGGCACGGCACGGCACGGCGCGGCACGGCACGGCUGGGCCGGGGCUGUGCCGCCGGGGCUGCGACGUGCAGGCUGCUGCGGCGGGGCCGGGUGUGCGGGGCACCGUGCUGCUGCAGGGGGACCCGGUCCCCAAACGUGCGCGGGGGGGAAUCCCGGGUUUAUGCCCGUGAUCCCUGGGCUGGUGCCCUCGGUGCUGCGCGGCACCGCUGCGGGCAGCUGUGCACACGUGUGCAUGGCCGUGCACACCCAUACACAGCUGUGCACAGCCAUACACAGCCAUGCACAGCCAUACACAGCCAUACACAGCCGUGCACAACCACACACAGCUGUGCACACCUGUGCAAGGCCAUGCACACCCAUACACAGCCAUGCACACCCAUACGCACCCAUACACAGCCAUGCACAACCACACACACAUGUGCACAGCCAGGCACACCCAUGCACAGCCAGGCACACCCAUACACACCCAUGCACACCCAUACACAGCCGUGCACACCUGUGCAAGGCCAUGCACACCCAUACGCACCCAUACACAACCAUGCACACAUGUGCACAGCCAUGCACAGCCAUGCACACCCAUGCACAGCCACACACAUGUGCACACCCAUACACAGCCAGGCACACCCAUACACGCAUGUGCACAGCCAUGCACAGCCAUAAACACCCAUACACAGCCAUGCAUUGUCAUGCACACCCGUGCACGCCUGUGCACACCCGCCAGCACAGCGCAGCCAGCUCAGCCCCCCUCCUCCCCCCCCGCCCCCGCAGGCCCAGCGGAGCCAAGAGCUCCCGCGCUCUCGCUCGGCCCCCGGCACAAACCGCCUCUUGGUUUCCACGAGUGGGACGGAGGAGCCACGCAGGCGCGUGGUCUGGGCUGUGCCGGCACCCAGAGGAGCAUCCUUCGCAGCUCCGGCCAGCCGGGGCGGAGGCGGCAGAGCUGGAGUGGCUGCGCGGGGGYGAGGGAGAGGCGCUGGAGCCACCGGAGCUGCAUUGA
rnacentral:lncRNA from 1 species